GCAAUCAAGAUUCUUUUCGCUUGAGAGAGAAGCAAAAAUAUUGGUAAGAGAUCUAUGCUCGCUCAUCUCACGAAUGGUCAUGGUCUAAUUUUCCGCCUCUCUGUAACUGGAUCAGAAGGUGCAACUAUUAGACUAUACAUUGAGCAAUAUGAGAAGGAUCCAUCAAAGAUCGGGAGACUUUCACAUGAAGCACUUGCUCCUCUUGUGGAGGCUUCAUUGAAACUUUCAAAGAUGGAAGAGUUCACCGGUCGAUCUGCUCCCACAGUCAUCACAUAAAUACCCUACCUGUACUGUUGGUUGUUUUCGGCCCCUAUAUAUAGGCACUUGAGUGGAAUUUGUAUUACUUAACUAAAUUUUGAUGUGAUAAAUAAUUUGAAACUGCUGAGUUCUGAUAUUAUAUAUA